rnacentral:rRNA from 1 species
GAUGAACGCUGGCGGCGUGCCUAACACAUGCAAGUCGAACGAAGCUUGACGGAUGGUUUCUUCGGAAUGAAACCAGAUAUGACUUAGUGGCGGACGGGUGAGUAACACGUGAGCAACCUGCCUUUCAGAGGGGGAUAACGGCUGGAAACGGUCGCUAAUACCGCAUGAUGUGUUCGGAUGGCAUCAUCUGAACAUCAAAGAUUUAUCGCUGAAAGAUGGGCUCGCGUCUGAUUAGAUAGUUGGUGGGGUAACGGCCUACCAAGUCUACGAUCAGUAGCCGGACUGAGAGGUUGAACGGCCACAUUGGGACUGAGAUACGGCCCAGACUCCUACGGGAGGCAGCAGUGGGGAAUAUUGCACAAUGGGGGAAACCCUGAUGCAGCAACGCCGCGUGAAGGAUGACGGUUUUCGGAUUGUAAACUUCUUUUCUUAGUGACGAAGACAGUGACGGUAGCUAAGGAAUAAGCAUCGGCUAACUACGUG